CGACUCAAUCUGAUGGUCACGAUGGCUUCCAGGUUUCAACGCGACCUCGCUCCCAGGCUUCAACGCGGUUGCCCGCGUCCCUCGACGUGCGGCCUCCGCCUCCCCAAACGUGACGGGCAGGGUUCGAUCCCUGCUAACACGGAAAAAAAUAAAAAAAAAUAGCGUAGCAGCAUGCACGGGAGGAGGCGCGCCCGCCGUUCCCGGCGGUGAGGUGGCACAGGAUCGACGGAGGAACUAGGGUUGCGGCCGAGGACUUGGCUCCAGCGGAGCUUCGGUGGCUGCGCAGGUCGACGACAGACCCCGGCGGGGCGGAAGCGGCGGCGGCGCAGGCACGGUCACGGCGACCCGGCCGGCGGCGGAGGAAGGCGAGGCGGACACAUUGGUGGGAUUGGUCGUGGAUCCGAGCAACCCCUGCACCGGAAUUGCCAUCUACGUGCAUCCCGGAAUUGCCAUCUACGUGCAUCCCAGCAGGGGAAGGUGAAGGUGGACUGGUCCAAAUCGCCGUUCGUCGUCUCCUACCGAGGGUACACCGCCGACGCCUGUGUCCCCACCGGCGGCGACGUCGGCACCCCGCUGUCGUGCCUCGCUGGGACGGACCGGUGGAUGAACCGCCAGCUCGACGCCGCCGAGUGGGGCACCGUCGCGUGGGCCAAGAAGAACUACAUGCACUACAACUACUGCGACGAUGGGUGGAGGUUCCCGCAGGGAUUCCCCGCCGAGUGCUCCCGAAACUGAUCUGCUAUUAUUGUUCUUGCUUCCUGUUCCUUGAUUCGUGUUUGUUCUUGAACAGGAUAGCUCAGAUGUUGCCUUCCCAUGUACAUUUUGGCACCCCAACGGAGCUUCGGUGGCUGCGCAGGUCGACGACAGACCCCGGCGGGGUGGUAGCCGCGGCGGCGCAGGCACGGUCAUGGCGACCCGGCCGGCGGCGGAGGAAGGCGAGGCGGACACAUUGGUGGGAUUGGUCGCGGAUCCGCGCAACCCCUGCACCAGAAUUGCCAUCUACGUGCAUCCCAGCCGCCGUGCGCAACUCGACCACACCAAGUCCGGCGCCCAGCACGCGAUCCACGGUCUCCUCUUCAUCAGCAGCGGCAACAAGGCCAGCAACGCCUGGAUUGAGGGGAGAGAUAAUGAAAACAAAAGGAUAUUUAGAUUUUUUGUUUUAAUUUCUGAAUCCAUUUCUGAACCCAAGUGGCACCGGCAGCCAGCACUCCUGCUUCCUGCGUAGUGCAUGCUCUGCCUCUUGUCCUCGACUUCAAGUUCAUUCUAAAAGGUAGAGACUUAGGAAUUACAAGUGAAAAUCAAGACAGGUAUAUCUACAUCUAUUUUGACUGCGGGUAGACUUAGGAAUUACAAGUGAAAAUCAAGACAUAUAUAUCUACAUCUAUCAUUUGUGCUUGUAAUCCAAUUGUGGCACACCGCCAUUGAAGUGAAGCAGAUUAAGAUGAGUUUAGGAUUCAUCAGCGACUACUACAAUAUGUUUUUGGGGCUGCUUGCCUCUCUACUGGGUUUCAGGCAUGCCAUCUUAAGAUGUUACUUCCAGUGACAUGGAGGAUUGGGCAUAUAUUCGAAUUGAUGCUUAGCUUUGGGGAUGUUGUUGCUAUGUGGCCUGCUUGCAGGAAAAGAUCAAAUUAGAUGAAGACUAACUUGAAUUGGUUGACGAAAGUAGUUGCAAGGCUUCUAUUUCCAUAGAGUACAUUGGAGCAGGAAAUGACAUGAAGAUUAAUAUUACAAGGAUGCAACACACCUGAGCAAGGGGCACCGGCACUUGUAACUCAGACAUCCACAUAAGAUUCAUUCAUUUUCCCUCCUUAUGGUGGGAGCCAGAAAGAUGAGAGGAGAGAGGGGCUAGCAGAAGCAGAGCAAGAAGGGAUUUACACUAUAGUACCUCAUAAACACAUAGAGUAAAAUAAGUUUAUUAACUCAUUCAUGUUUGUGUUGCAUUGUGCCCUUUUCCCGGUGCCUGCUGGACCAAGUGGGACGUGUGUAUCAUGGAGAUUGGAGGCCACAGAGAAAGUGUAAGGUUAUAUGGGGCAUGGCACAAUCCAUGACUAAAAUUUUGUUCUUAUCUCGAAACAAUUUAUGGAUCACUGUAGUAAUACUAUUGAUCAAGUAUAAUAGAUUGAUUAAGAUGUACCA